CCAGCCGGCCGGGCGGCCGCACCAGCAUCAAGCCGAAAGGCUGCGGGUGAGGAAAGUCCGGGCUCCAUGGAAACACGGUGCCGGCUAACAGCCGGCGGGGGUAACCCCAGGGAAAGUGCCACAGAAAGCAAACCGCCGCACUUCAUGUGCGGCAAGGGUGAAAGGGUGGGGUAAGAGCCCACCGCGCGACCGGUAACGGAAGCGGCACGGUAAACCCCACCGGGAGCAAGACCGAAUAGGGGCGGUACAGAGGGGAAACCCUCGGGGCUGUUUCCGGCCCGCCGCCCGGGUAGGUUGCGUGAGGCGUCUGGCAACAGGCGCCCAAGAUGAAUGGCCGCCACGUUUCCGCGCCGCAAGGUGCGGAGGCCAUACAGAACCCGGCUUACAGGCCGGCUGGCACC
rnacentral:RNase_P_RNA from 2 species